AGCUUCUUAGCGCAGUAGGUAGCGCGUUGGGCUCAUACCUCAUAUGAUACCUUUCCACUUCAGAGUGGUGAAACCCAAAGGUCGUCGGAUCGAAACCGACAGAAGCUA
rnacentral:tRNA from 2 species